CCUACGGGUGGCUGCAGUGGGGGAUAUUGCACAAUGGGGGAAACCCUGAUGCAGCGACGCCGCGUGAGUGAAGAAGUAUUUCUGUAUGUAAAGCUCUAUCAGCAGGGAAGUAAAUGACAGUACCUGACCAAGAAGCUCCGGCUAACUACGGGCCAGCAGCCGCGGUAAUACGGAGGGGGCAAGCGUUAUCCGGAUUUACUGGGUGUAAAGGGGGCGUAGACGGUUAAGUAAGUCUGGAGUGAAAGCCUGGGGCCCAACCCCGGGACUGCUUUGGAAACUGUGUAACUGGAGUACAGGAGGGGCAGGCGGAAUUCGUGGUGUAGCGGUGAAAUGCGUAGAUAUCAGGAGGAACACCGGCGGCGAAGGCGGCCUGCUGGACUGAAACUGACGUUGAGGCUCGAAAGCGUGGGGAGCAAACAGGAUUAGAUACCCUAGUAGUC
rnacentral:rRNA from 1 species